rnacentral:rRNA from 1 species
UUCAAAGCAGGCUAUGCUCGAAUACAUUAGCAUGGAUAAUAGAAUAGGACGUGUGUUCUAUUUGUUGGUUUCUAGGACCGCCGUAAUGAUUAAUAGGGAUAGUCGGGGGCAUCAGUAUUCCAUUGUCAGAGGUGAAAUUCUUGGAUUUAUGGAAGACUAACUACUGCGAAAGCAUUUGCCAAGGAUGUUUUCAUUAAUCAGUGAACGAAAGUUAGGGGAUCGAAGACGAUCAGAUACCGUCGUAGUCUUAACCAUAAACUAUGCCGACUAGGGAUCGGGCGAUGUUAUCUUUUUGACUCGCUCGGCACCUUACGAGAAAUCAAAGUCUUUGGGUUCUGGGGG